rnacentral:rRNA from 1 species
GCGGACGGGUGAGUAAUGCUUGGGGAUCUGGCUUAUGGAGGGGGAUAACGACGGGAAACUGUCGCUAAUACCGCGUAAUGUCUAAGGACUAGAGGGUGGGACUUUCGGGCCACCUGCCAUAAGAUGAGCCCAAGUGGGAUUAGGUAGUUGGUGGGGUAAAGGCCUACCAAGCCGACGAUCUCUAGCUGGUCUGAGAGGAUGACCAGCCACACUGGAACUGAGACACGGUCCAGACUCCUACGGGAGGCAGCAGUGGGGAAUAUUGCACAAUGGGGGGAACCCUGAUGCAGCCAUGCCGCGUGGAUGAAGAAGGCCUUCGGGUUGUAAAGUUCUUUCGGUGAUGAGGAAGGGUGAUGUUUUAAUAGAGCAUUACAUUGACGUUAGUCACAGAAGAAGCACCGGCUAACUCCGUGCCAGCAGCCGCGGUAAUACGGAGGGUGCGAGCGUUAAUCGGAAUGACUGGGCGUAAAGGGCACGCAGGCGGUGACUUAAGUGAGAUGUGAAAGCCCCGAGCUUAACUUGGGAAUUGCAUUUCAUACUGGGUGGCUAGAGUAUUUUAGGGAGGGGUAGAAUUCCACGUGUAGCGGUGAAAUGCGUAGAGAUGUGGAGGAAUACCGAAGGCGAAGGCAGCCCCUUGGGAAAAUACUGACGCUCAUGUGCGAAAGCGUGGGGAGCAAACAGGAUUAGAUACCCUGGUAGUCCACGCUGUAAACGCUGUCGAUUUGGGG